AUGAGAGGGAGUGAGCGGGCGGCGGUGUCAGCGUCAACGUCGGGGAUGAGCUGCAACGGCUGCCGCGUGCUGCGCAAGGGCUGCAACGACGCCUGCGUGCUGCGCCCCUGCCUGCUCUGGAUCGAGGCCGCCGACGCGCAGGGCCACGCCACCCUCUUCGCCGCCAAGUUCUUCGGCCGCGCCGGCCUCAUGUCCUUCCUCACCGCUGUCCCCGAGCAGCAGCGCCCAGCCGUGUUCCAGUCGCUGCUGUACGAGGCGGCGGGGCGGACGAUCAACCCGGUGAGCGGCGCGGUGGGGCUGCUCUGGGCGGGGAGCUGGCACCUCUGCGAGGCGGCGGUCCAGACCGUGCUCCGGGGCGGCGCCAUCCGCCCGCUGCCGGAGCUCGCGGGCGGCGUCCCGGAAGGCGGCGUCGGUGGCAGCGAUCUGUUCGCCUCCUCUUCCAGGCGGGCCGUGGUGGGGUGCUCCACGUAUUCGGCGGCGAAGCGGGUAACGCCGAGGAAGACCUGGGCGCCGGAGGCCGCGUCCCAGCACCAGGAGCCCCCGUGCGACCUCGGGCUUUUCCUCACCCCCGGAUCGGCCGCCGCGGCGGAGGGGGAGCGACGGGUGAGGCGUGCCGGCACGCCGUCGAUGAGCUCCGACGGCUCCGUGACCACGAGCGCCGGCGCCGGCGAGAAGGAGCCGGAGCUGCUGAAUCUUUUUGUUUAA
rnacentral:rRNA from 1 species